rnacentral:rRNA from 1 species
GAUGAACGCUGGCGGCGUGCCUAAUACAUGCAAGUCGAGCGAACGGAUGAGAAGCUUGCUUCUCUGAUGUUAGCGGCGGACGGGUGAGUAACACGUGGAUAACCUACUUAUAAGACUGGGAUAACUUCGGGAAACCGGAGCUAAUACCGGAUAAUAUUUUGAACCGCAUGGUUCAAAAGUGAAAGACGGUCUUGCUGUCACUUAUAGAUGGAUCCGCGCUGCAUUAGCUAGUUGGUAAGGUAACGGCUUACCAAGGCAACGAUGCAUAGCCGACCUGAGAGGGUGAUCGGCCACACUGGAACUGAGACACGGUCCAGACUCCUACGGGAGGCAGCAGUAGGGAAUCUUCCGCAAUGGGCGAAAGCCUGACGGAGCAACGCCGCGUGAGUGAUGAAGGUCUUCGGAUCGUAAAACUCUGUUAUUAGGGAAGAACAUAUGUGUAAGUAACUGUGCACAUCUUGACGGUACCUAAUCAGAAAGCCACGGCUAACUACGUG